CCUACGGGGUGCAGCAGUGGGGAAUUUUGGACAAUGGGCGCAAGCCUGAUCCAGCUAUUCCGCGUGUGGGAUGAAGGCCCUCGGGUUGUAAACCACUUUUGUAGAGAACGUAAAGACACCUUUUAAUAAAGUGUGUUGCUUACGGUACUCUAAGAAUAAGCACCGGCGAACUACGUGCCAGCAGCCGCGGUAAUACGUAGGGUGCGUGCGUUAAUCGGAAUUACUGGGGGUAAAGGUUGCGCAGGGGGUUGAGUAAGACAGAUGUGAAAUCCCCGAGCUUAACUCGGGAAUGGCAAAUGUAACUGGUCGACUAGAGUGUGUCAGAGGGAGGUGGAAUUCGAGGUGUAGCAGUGAAAUGCGUAGAUAUGUGGAAGAACACCGAUGGCGAAGGCAGCCUCCUGGGACAUAACUGACGCUCAGGCACGAAAGCGUGGGGAGCAAACAGGAUUAGAUACCCCAGUAGUC
rnacentral:rRNA from 1 species